UCGAGACCCGAACAAACGGACGACCGCGAACGUGUUACAUACAUAUCCUCUACUUACGACUCCGCAUCGUCCCGCCGCUCCUCGCGGCGCGGCGCGGCGAGACGGAGGAAACGAAACCCCGGCGCGGUGGGCGCCAAGGAACACUUUUUGGAAGCGCCGUCGCGGCCGCCUCCUUCCCACGGGAGGAGGGGGACGCGGGCGUGGAUAUAGAAAUCGUAUUCUGUACGACUCUCGGCAACGGAUAUCUAGGCUCUCGCAUCGAUGAAGAACGUAGCGAAAUGCGAUACUUGGUGUGAAUUGCAGAAUCCCGUGAACCAUCGAGUCUUUGAACGCAAGUUGCGCCCGAAGCCAUCCGGCCGAGGGCACGCCUGCCUGGGCGUCACGCCUCCCGUCGCUCCCCACAGCCGUGGCGGAUGCGGAGAUUGGCCCACCGUGCUUCGUGCGCGGCGGGUCGAAGUGCGGGCCGUCGUCGGGCCGGGCGCGACGAAUGGUGGACGAAUACAACGCUGUUUGUGCCUACUCUUCGUGCCCCGGCCCCCAACAAUGCGACGUGCCGUCGUCGGACCCCUCACCGAGGAUGGAUUCCCCCGUUGUCUCUAACAACGGGGACCGAUCGUCCUCGGAACG
rnacentral:misc_RNA from 1 species